rnacentral:rRNA from 1 species
GACGAACGCUGGCGGCGUGCUUAACACAUGCAAGUCGAACGGAAAGGCCCUGCUUUCGUGGGGUGCUCGAGUGGCGAACGGGUGAGUAACACGUGAGUAACCUGCCCUUGACUUUGGGAUAACUUCAGGAAACUGGGGCUAAUACCGGAUAGGAGCUCCUGCUGCAUGGUGGGGGUUGGAAAGUUUCGGCGGUUGGGGAUGGACUCGCGGCUUAUCAGCUUGUUGGUGGGGUAGUGGCUUACCAAGGCUUUGACGGGUAGCCGGCCUGAGAGGGUGACCGGCCACAUUGGGACUGAGGUACGGCCCAGACUCCUACGGGAGGCAGAAGUGGGGAAUAUUGCACAAUGGGCGGAAGCCUGAUGCAGCAACGCCGCGUGCGGGAUGACGGCCUUCGGGUUGUAAACCGCUUUCGCCUGUGACGAAGCGUGAGUGACGGUAAUGGGUAAAGAAGCACCGGCUAACUACGUG